rnacentral:rRNA from 1 species
ACGCUCGACACCUACGGGAGCAGCAGUAGGGAAUCUUCCACAAUGGACGCAAGUCUGAUGGAGCAACGCCGCGUGAGUGAAGAAGGUCUUCGGAUCGUAAAACUCUGUUGUUAGAGAAGAACACGAGUGAGAGUAACUGUUCAUUCGAUGACGGUAUCUAACCAGCAAGUCACGGCUAACUACGUGCCUGCAGCCGCGGUAAUCUGAGCGGGCUGGCAAGGC